rnacentral:lncRNA from 1 species
CAAGUGAGGUUAAGACAGUGACCAACUCUCAGCCCACCAAAUUGGGUUGCUAAGAGGAAUGCCGGGAGGAGCUGUCAUGAGGCAAACCUAACAAGGCACAAGGCACAUACACUCAUAGGACCUAAGGGUGUUUAUACUAUGUCAAGGUUGUGGAUGAAGAAUAUGUUUGAGUUGCUGCGAGGGUUGGAACAGGGAACCAAAAUGGCGGACGUGUGAGGUGGCUGCUACGACUUGACAGUCCAGGAAAUAACCUCCUGAGCCGUCGGAAGCUACAAUGACCAACAACACUGCUGAUGUAUAUGAUGCCACUGAUGAAACACUGCUGACCUGAGGGACAGACUCAUAUAUGAUGCCACUGAUGAAGCACUGCUGACAUGUUGGAGGUGAGACUUACUUACUGUUAGUUCACAUCAUGUUGUUCUUAUUAGGUGUACAGCUGAGUCUACUGCAGGUUGGGUUUCUCUUAUCUGAAAUUACCAAAUCCGAAAUGCUCUGAAAUCUGAGUCUUAUUUCAUUAUUUUUAUGAUAGAUAAUUCUGUACACUAAAUAUGGUAUACAGUACAUGUAUAUACUCGUGCAUAGUUUGAGUUUUUAAGAUCAAAUUUUUACGUAAUAGUUUCGUCAGGUUGAGUCCGUGCAUGAUGGGAAGGGCGAGGAGCAACUUUUAGCCUUAGACGUGAAAAGUAUUUACCAUUUACUGCCAGUAAACAAUGGAAAUGUAAAAUAUGUACCAAUUAGUAAUGAACAGCUGUGCAGUGCCUUCAGCAGAUGAAGCUCACCAACUUACAAUAUAUAUCCAUAUGCUAUAAAUGAAAUAUAAAUGAAUUUUGUGCAUAGACUUGGGCCCCAUCCCUGUUGGGUGAGCUACCCCCAUUAUACAGGUUCUGUAUACAGGUGUUUCAAAAAAUAUCCCAAAUCCGAGACCCCUAAAGCCCCAAGCAUUUAGGAUAAAGGAUACCCAACCUGUACUUGUGUUUACAUGCAGUUGUGUACAGUACUGUACUACAGUAUUUAAAACAUCAAAUACACUCUACCCAUUAGUUUUAAUUCACAUUUAAAUACAGUACAUUAUUUCAAGAAUAUGGAGCAGCUUUAUUAUUUAAGUGUAUUACCCUUAUCUUGUGUUUGGGCACAUGAGGUCAUGAUGUAGAUUUGGUUCAAAUUAAUCAGAGGCACUGUACUGUACUGUACUGUACUGUACUGUACUGUACUGUACUGUACUGUACUGUACUGUACUGUACUGUUUUAAAUACUGAUUAUGGAUCUGGAUUUGGAAUGCAAAAAUAUCACAAAUUAGCAUUAAUUAUGACCCUUGAAUUAAUUAAACAAAUUUACAGUAGUGUAUUUAUCUAAAAGUGGACAUUUAUGUAAAUGUGUUUGUGUGCAUUUAUAUUUAUUUAAGAAAGUUUGUUUGUAUGGUACAUGUAUUUGUUUAAAUGUGUGUGUGUGUGUUUUGUAUAAAUGUUUGACUGUUUUAGUGUAAAGGUGUUUGUGUUGUCAUGUAAAACCAUACAAGCAGUUGUGUAACACAAGGUGUGACACAACAAAUCUGAAGAUUAGUUAUUGCUGAAACUUGUCUCAAAAUUACUAAAUUUGGAUGAUAAAUAAAUAAUUACUUUAUUUGCCUUAAUGGCCACCCACUAGAGGUGGUCAGGGUGAGGAAAGGAGGCCAGUGGUCUAUGUAGGAUCCUUCCAUUGUUCUUGAUAGUCUUGUCUUGGGCUAUUUUUUUUGUAUGAUAAGUUGCCAAGCGUAGUCAUGUCCCAUUAUUUUGGUGGUGCGUGACAUGGCCCAGGUUCAUGUUUUCCAUCUUUUCAAGAGUUUGAAUGUCUAUGAGUUGUGCCUUGUUGUGUCUUGUCAGAAGGGUUGUUAACCCCAAGGCCCUCAAUUUAUUUGGAAAAUCAAGAUGACAUAAAUCAAGAAUCAUCUUAGUCACUGUGUUGAACCUUUCUAAGGAUGUUAGGGUUUUCUGGAGGGAGGGUUUCCAUGCCUGUACAGUGUACAGUAAUCCAGACUGGGACGUAUGUGAUAUUUGUACAAUUGAAGGAUCAUUGUCAUAUCUUUGUGUUUGAAGGUAUGCUUUAUAAUUCCCAAUUCUUGGUUGGCUUUUGUCCUGUUGCCCCCACUUAGAGCACUGCUUUCAGUGAUUGAUCUUUCACAAUACCAAGAUCUUUCACUUUAUUGAAAGUAUCCAGGAAAGUGUUAUUAACAGAAUAGUGGGGAUUUGGGUUGUUGUAUCCUACACAGAGUCUUACAUUUUGCAUUGUUAAAAAUCUUUACCAGACUCAAGACCAAUUGAGCAGCUUUUGAAGAUCUUUUUGCAUGGCUGCAAAUCGUCAUGACUGUCACCUUCCCAAAUAUUUCUGUCAUCUGCAAACUUGACAGUAUGGCUCUAUAUAUUUUCAUCUAUAUCAUUUAUGUACAGUAAAACCUCUCUAAGGCAGACUAAUUGAGGAAGGGAUAAGAGGUUGUCCUCCUUAAGAGUCAAUUUUUCCCAAAAGACGCCAUUUUAAACAAAAAACAGUACGACACCAACGUCUCCAAUUUUCAUGAAGGAAAUACUGUACAUACAUGUUUUCUAAUCAAAAUUAAUUUUAAAAAGUAAUGUACACAAAGUACUGUACACUUACUUUUAGUUCACUGAUACGGCCAUCGGCUUAACCUCACCGCCCUUAUGGGUACUAAACACUUUCUUAGAGGCUGUGUUUAUUGUUUCAUUUUUCAAUAAUACAGUAAUGCAAAAAAUAUGACCGGUGCUUCAGUCUACGGUGAUUAUGUAUAAAAACUUUAAUGAUAUAAAAAAUACAGUACUGUAUUUUCGGAAAUAAAUUUUGUAUAUUCGUCCUGUAACCAUAGUUUUCUUAUAUAUACUGUACCAGGAAAUGUGGGGAAUAAUACCAACAAAACUUACUGUAUUGUAUUGUCAAAAAAAGUAAAUAAAAACCAAAUGAAUGUUUAAAACACAGCCUCCAUUUGCAUACACUCCCUGUUUCACCAUAGUAACGAAGAUGAGCUGGGACGCUGAUUCCCUAGCAACGCGUCCCCCAACACACACAUACACACUGAGUAUUUUCCCCUCACUCAGCUAACUCGUAUAGAAAGAACUGUCAAUUCCAUUUAUGUGUUUGCCCUUAGGACAAUUAUUUCUUUUACUUUUUUCACAUUAUGUAUGUAGGAUGGUGUGUGCGUGUAGUAGAGUAAAAAUAAAUGAGGAAAGUUACUUAUAUCUACCCAAAAAUACAAGUUGAAAAACAACCAUGUAACACCUCACAGCUUGGCCCAGUAGCCUGGUGGUUACAGUGAUGAGUCUAACCUGGCUACAAUGCCAUGUUACAGACGACACUAACUAGUCACUCGCUCGCUCCCUGGCUCCCGUUGCCAGGCUUAUUAUUGAAAUACAGUACGUAUAGGAGAAAUACAUACAGUAUCUUGUAGUAUAAUUUGAAAACAGUGAU